UACGUAGGGUGCGAGCGUUGUCCGGAAUUAUUGGGCGUAAAGAGCUUGUAGGUGGUUUGUCGCGUCUGCUGUGAAAAUCCGAGGCUCAACCUUGGACUUGCAGUGGGUACGGGCAGACUAGAGUGUGGUAGGGGAGACUGGAAUUCCUGGUGUAGCGGUGGAAGUGCGCAGAUAUCAGGAGGAACACCGAUGGCGAAGGCAGGUCUCUGGGCCAUUACUGACACUGAGAAGCGAAAGCAUGGGGAGCGAACAGG
rnacentral:rRNA from 1 species